AGUCGUAACAAGGUCUCCGUAGGUGAACCUGCGGAGGGAUCAUUACACAAAUAUGAAGGCGGGCUGGAACCUCUCGGGGUUACAGCCUUGCUGAAUUAUUCACCCUUGUCUUUUGCGUACUUCUUGUUUCCUUGGUAGGUUCGCCCACCACUAGGACAAACAUAAACCUUUUGUAAUUGCAAUCAGCGUCAGUAACAAAUUAAUAAUUACAACUUUCAACAACGGAUCUCUUGGUUCUGGCAUCGAUGAAGAACGCAGCGAAAUGCGAUAAGUAGUGUGAAUUGCAGAAUUCAGUGAAUCAUCGAAUCUUUGAACGCACGUUGCGCCCUUUGGUAUUCCAAAGGGCAUGCCUGUUCGAGCGUCAUUUGUACCCUCAAGCUUUGCUUGGUGUUGGGCGUCUUGUCUCUAGCUUUGCUUGAGACUCGCUUUAAAGUAAUUGGCAGCCGGCCUACUGGUUUCGGAGCGCAGCACAAGUCGCACUCUCUAUCAGCAAAGGUCUAGCAUCCAUUAAGCCUUUUUUUCAACUUUUGACCUCGGAUCAGGUAGGGAUACCCGCUGAACUUAAGCAUAUCA
rnacentral:rRNA from 1 species